rnacentral:rRNA from 1 species
UACGUAGGGGGCAAGCGUUGUUCGGAAUGACUGGGCGUAAUGGGUGUGUAGGUGGUUUGAUAAGUUAGAUGUGUAAUACCCAGGGCUUAACUCGGGUGCUGCAUCUAAAACUGUUAGACUUGAGUACUGGAGAGGAUAGUGGAAUUCCUAGUGUAGCGGUGGAAUGCGUAGAUAUUAGGAGGAACAUCAGUGGCGAAGGCGACUAUCUGGACAGCAACUGACACUGAGGCACGAAAGCGUGGGGAGCAAACAGG